UGGGUUUGACAUCCUCUGACUGCCCCGGAAACGGGGUUUUUCCGACUCUGUCGGAACAGAGUGACAGGUGCUGCAUGGCUGUCGUCAGCUCGUGUCGUGAGAUGUUGGGUUAAGUCCCGCAACGAGCGUAACCCUUGUCUUUAGUUGCCAGUAUUAGGUUAGGCACUCUAAAGAGACUGCCUCGGUUAACGGGGAGGAAGGUGGGGAUGACGUCAAGUCCUCAUGGCCUUUAUACCCAGGGCUACACACGUGCUACAAUGGGCUGUACAAAGGGUUGCCACUCCGCGAGGAGGCGCUAAUCCCAAAAAGCAGUCCUCAGUUCGGAUUGGAGUCUGCAACUCGACUCCAUGAAGG
rnacentral:rRNA from 1 species